rnacentral:tRNA from 2 species
CCUUCGAUAGCUCAGCUGGUAGAGCGGAGGACUGUAGCGUGUCCCGGUGUAGUCAUCCUUAGGUCGCUGGUUCGAUUCCGGCUCGAAGGA